AACGCUAGCGACAGGCUUAACACAUGCAAGUCGAGGGGUAACAGGGUAGCAAUACCGCUGACGACCGGCGCACGGGUGAGUAACGCGUAUGCAACCUGCCCUAGUAACUGGGGGAAUACGCUCCCGUGAAAGGGGGAAUUAACACCGCAUAACACUAUUGAUUCGCAUGGAUUAGUAGUUAAAUGUAGCGAUACAGGUUAUAGAUGGGCAUGCGUGACAUUAGCUAGUUGGUGAGGUAACGGCUCACCAAGGCUACGAUGUCUAGGGGUUCUGAGAGGAAGGUCCCCCCACACUGGUACUGAGACACGGACCAGACUCCUACGGGAGGCAGCAGUGAGGAAUAUUGGUCAAUGGGCGCAAGCCUGAACCAGCCAUGUCGCGUGCAGGAAGAACCUGCCCUAUGGGUUGUAAACUGCUUUUAUAGUAGAAGAAACACAUCUACGUGUAGAUGUCUGCCAGUAUACUAUGAAUAAGCAUCGGCUAACUCCGUGCCAGCCGCCGC
rnacentral:rRNA from 1 species